GAUGAACGCUGGCGGCGUGCCUAAUACAUGCAAGUCGAGCGAACAGACGAGGAGCUUGCUCCUUCGACGUUAGCGGCGGACGGGUGAGUAACACGUGGAUAACCUACCUAUAAGACUGGGAUAACUUCGGGAAACCGGAGCUAAUACCGGAUAAUAUAUUGAACCGCAUGGUUCAAUAGUGAAAGACGGCUUUGCUGUCACUUAUAGAUGGACCCGCGCCGCAUUAGCUAGUUGGUAAGGUAACGGCUUACCAAGGCGACGAUGCGUAGCCGACCUGAGAGGGUGAUCGGCCACACUGGAACUGAGACACGGUCCAGACUCCUACGGGAGGCAGCAGUAGGGAAUCUUCCGCAAUGGGCGAAAGCCUGACGGAGCAACGCCGCGUGAGUGAUGAAGGUCUUCGGAUCGUAAAACUCUGUUAUUAGGGAAGAACAAACGUGUAAGUAACUGUGCACGUCUUGACGGUACCUAAUCAGAAAGCCACGGCUAACUACGUG
rnacentral:rRNA from 1 species